AGUCACGGCCAUGAUCCAUCUUCAGAGCUUCUCUUUCUUCCCCAAGGAGGCGCUUGGAAACCACCGUGAAUUGGACCGCACUGGGAAACACAGAUGAGGAAAGUCAACAACGCUUUGUCCUUCAGUGCCUGGCUCCUUUUUCAGCUCGUCUUGCGACUCCCGGACGCCUGUGAGGCUCUAAUUCCCUGGGUCCCAUUGCCAUGUCUCUGGAUUUGCGAAGAUCCACCGCACCUUCUGUGGAACUCCCGUGUCGGUGAACUUUUGUGCCACGGCCCCUAAUUCUGCCCAUGGUCAUCCGCACCUGCACGACUUAGGGUCCAUGUUCCUUGGACGGGAAGAGACAGGCAGGAGUCGGAAUGAUGAACCAGCACACUGGGGCGUUUUCUCAUGUAGCCCAAGUGACCCCAUGGUCUUCUCGAGCUUUGGAACCAGUCGCGUCCCCUUU
rnacentral:lncRNA from 10 species